rnacentral:sRNA from 1 species
GUUCUUUCACCGUUCGAUUUAGGGUUUCCUUGCUUCAUUCACAGUUUUGGUUCAUUUGCUCUUGGAUUCGUAUCAUUCCGCUGCGUUUCACUCUUUGAGGGAGCUUCGAAGGAGUUCAUAGCGUAUUGGUGGGGAUUGUGUUUGGAUUGGUGGAGAAAUUAGCGGCGUUAGCACGAGAGAGAGGAGGAGGGAGCCUUGAAUGCCGAAUCCACGACAGUGAUUGGAGAAUUUUGAAGAUAUGGGAUACUGCUGGGCAAGAGAGAUUCCAAAGUCUCGGGGUUGCAUUUUAUAGAGGCGCGGAUUGCUGUGUUCUUGCGUAUGAUGUUAAUGUGAUGAAAUCUUUCGAUACCCUUGACAACUGGCAUGAGAGUUUCUCAAACAGGUUUCUGAGAAGAAAGCAAAGGAUUGGUGUGCUUCAAAAG